UACAGAGGGGGCAAGCGUUGUCCGGAAUUAUUGGGCGUAAAGAGCUCGUAGGCGGUCUGUCGCGUCUGCUGUGAAAACUCAGGGCUUAACCCUGAGCUUGCAGUGGGUACGGGCAGACUAGAGUGCGGUAGGGGAGACUGGAAUUCCUGGUGUAGCGGUGAAAUGCGCAGAUAUCAGGAGGAACACCGGUGGCGAAGGCGGGUCUCUGGGCCGUAACUGACGCUGAGGAGCGAAAGCAUGGGGAGCGAACAGG
rnacentral:rRNA from 1 species